GAAGGUAAAUUACAUUGUAUUGAUAAAGGUAACGUACCAUUUUAUACACUUCACAUUGACCAUUACGGGCCAUUAGAAAAAUCGGGCAAUCGUCAUAAAUACAUUUUUGAGAUCGUAGAUGGUUUUACCAAAUUUGUCAAAUUUUACGCGACUGUCUCAACAAAUACCGAUGAAGUUAUCAAACAUUUAAAUAGUAAUUUUUGUAUUAAGUGCGCGAAAUGAGUGUUUUUUUAAUGGCGCCUGAGAAUGUUAUUUUAGUCGAGACCGCCAGGUCGAGACCUAAAAGACAUUCGAAGGCGCCAUUAAAACAUGAAUUUCGCCACGAAAUACAAACAACGUUUUUUCUACAGCCUCCAGAUGAAGAAAAAAGUAACAGAAAUUAGUUGGAACAAAAUGGUCUGAUAAAUCGAGUUGCUUGCAUGGUUACGAUGAUAAAUAAAAGUGAUAGUUGCGAAAAAUUUGUCACAAUAGGUAUUUUUGUUGAAGAAGUGUGAUGGAUUUUAGCAGCGAAAACGAAAUAGAUGCAAUUGCAAGCGCGGCAGUGUCGAAUCUUUUGCCUGCUAAAUCAAGACCGCAGUACGAAAAAACGUAUCUUCAGUUUCGGCAGUGGUGUUCUAUGAAAAAGAUUGAUCAAGUAACGGAAAAUGUUUUGUUGGCGUAUUUGGAAGAAAAGUCUACCACCUUAAAGCCACCAACACUCUGGGCCCUUUAUGCGAUGUUGAAAGCCACCUUAAACGUUAAAGAGAAUAUCGAUACACAAGCAAGAAGUCGCAAAUUUUAGACAAAGAAGACAUUAGCAAGUUUAUUAAUGAAGCAGAUGACAAGAUAUAUUUACUGAUGAAGACUGUGCUAAUUUUGGGUAUAUCGGGAGCCCUUCGACGUGAAGAAUUAGUUAAAAUGAAGCUAACUGACAUAGAAGAUAAACAGUCUGUCUUAAUUGUGAAGGUGCCUGAUACAAAAACCCACUGCGAACGAAUAUUUACUGUUUCAAAUUUAGAAAAUAUAGAAAUUGUCAGAAAAUAUAGAGCUUUGCGGCCUCCACGGGCGACUAGUGACCGUUUAUUUUUAAAGUAUACCAACGGAAAAUGUGUGAAUCAAAAUGUUGGAAUUAACAAAAUCGGAGAGAUACCAAGUUUGAUUGCAAAGUGGCUUAACAAAGACGAACCUAAAAAAUAUACUGGUCACUGCUUCAGAAGAAGCUCUGCCACUCUUUUGGCGAAUGCUGGAGGUGAUCUAAUUUCAAUUAAACGUCAUGGGGGCUGGAGAAGCAGCACAGUGGCAGAAAGUUACAUCGAGGACUCUUUGAAUAAUAAAAUUGAAAUUGCCAAUAAAAUUCAACCUUCUUCCUCCACAGAAGAAAACAAAAUCACUCAACCUUCUACAUCGGCUUCUUUUAAUGGCGAAAAUAACUUUCAUUUACAAGCGUCUUCACUCAGGCCUCUGGGGAUAAACGGGGGCACGUUUUCGUCAUGCACAUUUAAUUUUCAUAUGUCAAAGUAAAUAUCUAUUAUUAUUGUUUUGUAAUAUUGUUCUGUAUAAUUAUAAAACCUUUAAAACUA